GGAGGAGAAGUUGAGGCAGGUGGUCAAGCAAGUCCUGAAGUGCGAUGUGACUCAGAGCCAGCCGCUGGGCGCUGUCCCCCUGCCCCUGGCUGACUGCCUGCUGAGCACGCUGUGCCUGGAUGCCGCCUGCCCUGACCUCCCUGCC
ensembl:miRNA eca-mir-8983 eca-mir-8983